rnacentral:rRNA from 1 species
UGGGGAAUAUUGGACAAUGGGGGGAACCCUGAUCCAGCCAUGCCGCGUGUGUGAAGAAGGCCUUAUGGUUGUAAAGCACUUUAAGCGAGGAGGAGGGUACUGGUAUUAAUACUACCAGGUACUGGACGUUACUCGCGGAAUAAGCACCGGCUAACUCUGUGCCAGCAGCCGCGGUAAUACAGAGGGUGCGAGCGUUAAUCGGAUUUACUGGGCGUAAAGCGUGCGUAGGCGGCUAAUUGAGUCGGAUGUGAAAUCCCCGAGCUUAACUUGGGAAUUGCAUUCGAUACUGGUUAGCUAGAGUGUGGGAGAGGAUGGUAGAAUUCCAGGUGUAGCGGUGAAAUGCGUAGAGAUCUGGAGGAAUACCGAUGGCGAAGGCAGCCAUCUGGCCUAACACUGACGCUGAGGUACGAAAGCAUGGGGAGCAAACAGG